GAAUCACUUGUCUCUUAAAUGGAGACCUGUAUGAAUGGCACGACGAGGGCUUAGCUGUCUCCUCAUUCAAGUCAAUGAAAUUGAUCUCCCCGUGCAGAAGCGGGGAUAAGACCAUAAGACGAGAAGACCCUAUGGAGCUUUAGACACCAGAGUAGAUCAUGUUAAACAACCCUUAAUUAAAGGACUAAACCAAAUGCCUACUACCCCAAUGUCUUUGGUUGGGGCGACCGCGGGGAAACACAAAACCCCCGUGUGGAACGGGAACACCCCCUCCUACAGCUAAGAGUUUCCACUCUAACGCACAGAAUAUCUGACCAAUAUGAUCCGGCAACGCCGAUCAACGAACCGAGUUACCCUAGGGAUAACAGCGCAAUCCCCUUUUAGAGCCCA
rnacentral:rRNA from 1 species